UACCAGCACCCCGAGUGGUCGGGACGAUUAUUGGGCCUAAAGCAUCCGUAGCCGGUUCUACAAGUCUUCCGUUAAAUCCACCUGCUCAACAGUUGGGCUGCGGAGGAUACUAUAGAGCUAGGAGGCGGGAGAGGCAAGCGGUACUCGAUGGGUAGGGGUAAAAUCCGUUGAUCCAUUGAAGACCACCAGUGGCGAAGGCGGCUUGCCAGAACGCGCUCGACGGUGAGGGAUGAAAGCUGGGGGAGCAAACCGGG
rnacentral:rRNA from 1 species